UACUGCUCAGUAACACGUGGACAACCUACCCUCAGCACGGGGAUAAACCCGGGAAACUGGGUAUAAUACCCGAUAGAACUGGGAUGCUGGAAUGCUUCCAGGUCUAAAGCUCCGGCGACUGAGGAUGGGUCUGCGGCCUAUCAGGUAGUAGUGGGUGUAAUGUACCUACUAGCCUACGACGGGUACGGGUUGUGAGAGCAAGAGCCCGGAGAUGGAUUCUGAGACACGAAUCCAGGCCCUACGGGGUGCAGCAGGCGCGAAAACUUUACAAUGCUGGAAACAGCGAUAAGGGGACCUCGAGUGCCAGGAUACAAUCUUGGCUGUCGUGAUGCCUAAAAAGCAUUGCAUAGCAAGGGCCGGGCAAGACCGGUGCCAGCCGCCGCGGUAACACCGGCGGCUCGAGUGGUAACCGCUAUUAUUGGGUCUAAAGGGUCUGUAGCCGGCCGGAUAAGUCUUUUGGGAAAUCCAGCUGCUCAACAGUUGGGCUUUCAGAAGAUACUGUUCGGCUCGAGGCCGGGAGAGGUGAGAGGUACUUCAGGGGUAGGGGUGAAAUCUUGUAAUCCUUGAAGGACCACCAGUGGCGAAGGCGUCUCACCAGAACGGACCUGACGGCAAGGGACGAAAGCUAGGGGCACGAACCGGAUUAGAUACCCGGGUAGUCCUAGCCGUAAACGAUACUCGCUAGGUGUCAGCCACGGUGCGACCGUGGUUGGNNNCGUAGGGAAGCCGUGAAGCGAGCCACCUGGGAAGUACGGCCGCAAGGCUGAAACUUAAAGGAAUUGGCGGGGGAGCGCA
rnacentral:rRNA from 1 species